rnacentral:lncRNA from 1 species
UUUUUUCUAUCACAUAGCACGUGUUGGUUUUAUGAAAAAAGACCCAAUAUGACACGAAGACAGUCACAAUCCCCAACCUACUAAAUGUAACACAAAAAAGUAAGUUAGAACUGGCAACGUAAACUACUUCUCAAAAGAGCAGGAACUAUUACUUACAGCUCUGUAUGUCAAAUAAAACAAUAACUGUAAAACCCAAAAGGGUAAUCCUUAACCUUAAAGCACAG